rnacentral:rRNA from 1 species
UACGAAGGGGGCUAGCGUUGUUCGGAAUUACUGGGCGUAAAGGGCGCGUAGGCGGUGUGUCAAGUCAGGCGUGAAAGCCCCGGGCUCAACCUGGGAACCGCGCUUGAGACUGGCACGCUAGAGUUCGGGAGAGGAUGGUGGAAUUCCCAGUGUAGAGGUGAAAUUCGUAGAUAUUGGGAAGAACACCGAUGGCGAAGGCGGCCAUCUGGACCGACACUGACGCUGAGGCGCGAAAGCGUGGGGAGCAAACAGG